AAUUUAUAAAUUUUUCAUCUUAUUUUUCUUUUCUUUAAAAAAAAAAACUGCUUCUGCCAUGCCUCUGUUUCCAAAAGCAAAGUGUUUAGAGGAGGUUCCCUUUUCUCUUCAAUUUCUUUACCUACAGAACAACGAAAAAUUCACCAAACUCUUGUCAAUUCGAUUCACCCAACACCAAUAGAUUCUUUAAUUUCAACCCUUUCAUUACAUAACCAGAUUUAGGAAUUGGUUAAAAAGGUAAAGGGUUUCUGGAUUGAACGUAACAAGGCAAGGUGAACAAAGGGCGAAGUGUUAUAGUUCAGACCGCAACUCUUUCGACGGUCGGCAAUUCAAUUGUCUACAAUGACCAAUAGACGACGAAUGUGGCAGUCGGUGGAGGUAUUAACGUUCCCGCCGGGGUUGGCCAUGGAAGGGGGCACAACGACUAUGGGUGUUCGACAACUUCAGCCGCGACAAAUUCGAUUGACUUGUUGUACCCUAUUAAUAACGAAGUAUUGUUAUUGGUAUCAGGUUAUAUAUCACUGUACAAUAUGGACACUAGAUGGAGUUGUUGUUGAGUCGACUCGAGCAGAACAUGGCGAAUUACUUUUGCAGUUGCUCUUUGAUCACAACAGCCAUUUGUUAAAGAUAAGCUUAGUAUUUGAUUAGCUUUCAUUUUUAUGUUUAUAUGGCAAGAGACUAUCUUACUUUUCAUGAUCACCUCUCUUGACUACAGGCAAUGGUAUUCCAAAAAGACAAGUAUUGGGCAAAACCAAGAUCAUAUUUGGAUUUGUAGAAGGCUUUCCUACUAUGUUGAAAGGUGAAGUUGCAAUGGAUGGCAAUCCUUAUUGGUACCAGGAAGAAGGUGCUUGUCAUAUUAACUAAAGACAUGGGUUAGAGUCUCGUAGGAAGAAGGUGCUUGAUGUAUUAACUAAAGACAUGGGUUGGAGUUUUCGAGAUCUUAUGCACAAACUUGGGGUCUAAAGGCUCAUGUCUAAUUAUUUAUAUGUUUGAAGGUGGUACACAAUGUGAAGUAAUUUGUUCUUUCCAUAAAUGAGGAUUUCGAUAAGGUGGAUAAGAAGUCAGGUACCCAUGGCUGGAAGAAGAGUGCAAUGUGUCAUCAGUUUUAAGCUACAUGUACUUGUUUUUUCUUUGAAAUUUUAGAUAUUUUUUAAAAUAGAUUGUUCCAUUAGUGCUACUAUGAAAAGGAAAUGAAGUGAUGUACAUCUUGUUCCAAAUUUUUGGUAUUCGUUCAUU